rnacentral:rRNA from 1 species
CUACGGGAGGCAGCAGUGGGGAAUAUUGGACAAUGGGCGCAACCCUGAUCCAGCCAUGCCGCGUGAGUGAAGAAGGCCUUCGGGUUGUAAAGCUCUUUCAGACGGGAAGAAAUGAGGUCAUUUAAUAGAUGAUCUUGAUGACGGUACCGUCAGAAGAAGCACCGGCUAACUACGUGCCAGCAGCCGCGGUAAUACGUAGGGUGCGAGCGUUAAUCGGAAUUACUGGGCGUAAAGGGUGCGCAGGCGGUUGUGUAAGACAGGUGUGAAAUCCCCGGGCUUAACCUGGGAACUGCGCUUGUGACUGCACGGCUAGAGUGCGGCAGAGGGGGGUGGAAUUCCACGUGUAGCAGUGAAAUGCGUAGAGAUGUGGAGGAACACCGAUGGCGAAGGCAGCCCCCUGGGCCGCAACUGACGCUCAUGCACGAAAGCGUGGGGAGCAAACAGGAUUAGAUACCCUUGUAGUCC